rnacentral:rRNA from 1 species
GAUGAACGCUGGCGGCGUGCCUAAUACAUGCAAGUCGAGCGAACAGACGAGGAGCUUGCUCCUCUGACGUUAGCGGCGGACGGGUGAGUAACACGUGGAUAACCUACCUAUAAGACUGGGAUAACUUCGGGAAACCGGAGCUAAUACCGGAUAAUAUAUUGAACCGCAUGGUUCAAUAGUGAAAGACGGUUUUGCUGUCACUUAUAGAUGGAUCCGCGCCGCAUUAGCUAGUUGGUAAGGUAACGGCUUACCAAGGCAACGAUGCGUAGCCGACCUGAGAGGGUGAUCGGCCACACUGGAACUGAGACACGGUCCAGACUCCUACGGGAGGCAGCAGUAGGGAAUCUUCCGCAAUGGGCGAAAGCUUGACGGAGCAACGCCGCGUGAGUGAUGAAGGUCUUCGGAUCGUAAAACUCUGUUAUUAGGGAAGUACAAAUGUGUAAGUAACUAUGCACGUCUUGACGGUACCUAAUCAGAAAGCCACGGCUAACUACGUG